GUCAUGGAUCAACAGUCGUCCUUCGGUGUAGGGGUCGUCCAAUACGCUAACCAUCAGAUGAAGAUUUCGGAGCAUACCUACCACCCGGAUGCACUUCUUGCUUUGUCAGGGAACGGAUCAAUCAGCGGACCCAAGCCUGGUUACUGAAAUUAUUGAAGUGGAAAAAGUCCGACAGGCCAGUCUCUCUUGGGGUUUGGCAGAAGAGUCGCAGCGAUAUCCAACAAGAGUGAACUAACUGUAAUUAUCAAGCCAAAGGGGAAAUCAACGUGCUGAAGUGAAAUUAAGAUAUUCGCUCGAAGUUAUAUUCUGCUGCUUGCUUGUUCGAUCAAAGAUGUUCGAUGGAAUGUUUCCGUACGGUGCGAAACAAGUGAUCAUGCUCAUGGAUAUAAAUCAUUGGUCUGUCCGACGAUUUAAGUGCUGGUGAAAUUGUUCUAAAACUGAAAAAGUAAAACAAUCUUCCGUUCUCCUCGGACAUCAGUGUUAGUCGCAGAAUUGAAAAUUGGACCUACAAUCCACUUACUUCUGUCUUGGAAACCGCUGCAACGCGUCUACCUGUGCUGGAAUCGAUGUAGAGUGUUUGAAGAAAUCAAUAUUUUGCACUGCUUCAAAUUUUCGCAGUUUGCCAUAUAGCAUCUUCCUGAAACAGCACUACUUGUUGCCCCACAAUGUGCUGGUGAUCACGAAGCAAAAGAAAGUGAAUCUACUUUCGUAAAGUGUGUUAAUUGUGAACUGGUGAACAAACUGCGUAACCAUGCAAAGGACAAAGAACUCAGCAUCGACCACUCAGCUUGAAGUGAUAUCUGCCCAAUUUUUCAGAAACCCCUGCAUAAUGCCAGACAAAUGGUUACUUACUCAAUCAACUGAUAUAUUCCUGGAUCGACUCUGGGAUGCAACGAUGUUGAUUCUAUGGAGGCAACCGAUCCUCCCACCACAAUCCUGACACUGUAGCCGUCUGUAUGUGGGAUUGGAGAAGGGGCCUUCCAACCUGAAACUGCAGUUCCAGCGCUACGCCGAUCCAUCAACUAUCUUCUGUCAGGUAGACACUGGAGCGCAAUGAUGUAGGCACCAUGGAAGCCCCUGAUAUUCCUGCCCGUCAUGGAUCAACAGUCGUCCUUCGGUGUAGGGGUCGUCCAAUACGCUAACCAUCAGAUGAAGAUUUCGGAGCAUACCUACCACCCGGAUGCACUUCUUGCUUUGUCAGGGAACGGAUCAAUCAGCGGACCCAAGCCUGGUUACUGAAAUUAUUGAAGUGGAAAAAGUCCGACAGGCCAGUCUCUCUUGGGGUUUGGCAGAAGAGUCGCAGCGAUAUCCAACAAGAGUGAACUAACUGUAAUUAUCAAGCCAAAGGGGAAAUCAACGUGCUGAAGUGAAAUUAAGAUAUUCGCUCGAAGUUAUAUUCUGCUGCUUGCUUGUUCGAUCAAAGAUGUUCGAUGGAAUGUUUCCGUACGGUGCGAAACAAGUGAUCAUGCUCAUGGAUAUAAAUCAUUGGUCUGUCCGACGAUUUAAGUGCUGGUGAAAUUGUUCUAAAACUGAAAAAGUAAAACAAUCUUCCGUUCUCCUCGGACAUCAGUGUUAGUCGCAGAAUUGAAAAUUGGACCUACAAUCCACUUACUUCUGUCUUGGAAACCGCUGCAACGCGUCUACCUGUGCUGGAAUCGAUGUAGAGUGUUUGAAGAAAUCAAUAUUUUGCACUGCUUCAAAUUUUCGCAGUUUGCCAUAUAGCAUCUUCCUGAAACAGCACUACUUGUUGCCCCACAAUGUGCUGGUGAUCACGAAGCAAAAGAAAGUGAAUCUACUUUCGUAAAGUGUGUUAAUUGUGAACUGGUGAACAAACUGCGUAACCAUGCAAAGGACAAAGAACUCAGCAUCGACCACUCAGCUUGAAGUGAUAUCUGCCCAAUUUUUCAGAAACCCCUGCAUAAUGCCAGACAAAUGGUUACUUACUCAAUCAACUGAUAUAUUCCUGGAUCGACUCUGGGAUGCAACGAUGUUGAUUCUAUGGAGGCAACCGAUCCUCCCACCACAAUCCUGACACUGUAGCCGUCUGUAUGUGGGAUUGGAGAAGGGGCCUUCCAACCUGAAACUGCAGUUCCAGCGCUACGCCGAUCCAUCAACUAUCUUCUGUCAGGUAGACACUGGAGCGCAAUGAUGUAGGCACCAUGGAAGCCCCUGAUAUUCCUGCCCGUCAUGGAUCAACAGUCGUCCUUCGGUGUAGGGGUCGUCCAAUACGCUAACCAUCAGAUGAAGAUUUCGGAGCAUACCUACCACCCGGAUGCACUUCUUGCUUUGUCAGGGAACGGAUCAAUCAGCGGACCCAAGCCUGGUUACUGAAAUUAUUGAAGUGGAAAAAGUCCGACAGGCCAGUCUCUCUUGGGGUUUGGCAGAAGAGUCGCAGCGAUAUCCAACAAGAGUGAACUAACUGUAAUUAUCAAGCCAAAGGGGAAAUCAACGUGCUGAAGUGAAAUUAAGAUAUUCGCUCGAAGUUAUAUUCUGCUGCUUGCUUGUUCGAUCAAAGAUGUUCGAUGGAAUGUUUCCGUACGGUGCGAAACAAGUGAUCAUGCUCAUGGAUAUAAAUCAUUGGUCUGUCCGACGAUUUAAGUGCUGGUGAAAUUGUUCUAAAACUGAAAAAGUAAAACAAUCUUCCGUUCUCCUCGGACAUCAGUGUUAGUCGCAGAAUUGAAAAUUGGACCUACAAUCCACUUACUUCUGUCUUGGAAACCGCUGCAACGCGUCUACCUGUGCUGGAAUCGAUGUAGAGUGUUUGAAGAAAUCAAUAUUUUGCACUGCUUCAAAUUUUCGCAGUUUGCCAUAUAGCAUCUUCCUGAAACAGCACUACUUGUUGCCCCACAAUGUGCUGGUGAUCACGAAGCAAAAGAAAGUGAAUCUACUUUCGUAAAGUGUGUUAAUUGUGAACUGGUGAACAAACUGCGUAACCAUGCAAAGGACAAAGAACUCAGCAUCGACCACUCAGCUUGAAGUGAUAUCUGCCCAAUUUUUCAGAAACCCCUGCAUAAUGCCAGACAAAUGGUUACUUACUCAAUCAACUGAUAUAUUCCUGGAUCGACUCUGGGAUGCAACGAUGUUGAUUCUAUGGAGGCAACCGAUCCUCCCACCACAAUCCUGACACUGUAGCCGUCUGUAUGUGGGAUUGGAGAAGGGGCCUUCCAACCUGAAACUGCAGUUCCAGCGCUACGCCGAUCCAUCAACUAUCUUCUGUCAGGUAGACACUGGAGCGCAAUGAUGUAGGCACCAUGGAAGCCCCAGAUAU